rnacentral:rRNA from 1 species
GACGAACGCCGGCGGCGUGCUUAACACAUGCAAGUCGAACGGAAAGGCCCUGCUUUUGUGGGGUGCUCGAGUGGCGAACGGGUGAGUAACACGUGAGUAACCUGCCCUUGACUUUGGGAUAACUUCAGGAAACUGGGGCUAAUACCAGAUAGGAGCUCCUGCUGCAUGGUGGGGGUUGGAAAGUUUCGGCGGUUGGGGAUGGACUCGCGGCUUAUCAGCUUGUUGGUGGGGUAGUGGCUUACCAAGGCUUUGACGGGUAGCCGGCCUGAGAGGGUGACCGGCCACAUUGGGACUGAGAUACGGCCCAGACUCCUACGGGAGGCAGCAGUGGGGAAUAUUGCACAAUGGGCGGAAGCCUGAUGCAGCAACGCCGCGUGCGGGAUGACGGCCUUCGGGUUGUAAACCGCUUUCGCCUGUGACGAAGCGUGAGUGACGGUAAUGGGUAAAGAAGCACCGGCUAACUACGUG